AGUAACGCGUGAGGAACCUGCCCUCAAGAGGGGGACAACAGUUGGAAACGACUGCUAAUACCGCAUAAGCCCACGGCUCGGCAUCGAGCAGAGGGAAAAGGAGCAAUCCGCUUUGAGAUGGCCUCGCGUCCGAUUAGCUAGUUGGUGAGGUAAUGGCCCACCAAGGCGACGAUCGGUAGCCGGACUGAGAGGUUGAACGGCCACAUUGGGACUGAGACACGGCCCAG
rnacentral:rRNA from 1 species